UCCCUCCCUCUCUUCUUUAUCCUUCUUUCUCUCCUACCUAGUGGUAGGGGGUGAAAUGGGGAAAUAAAGGUUGGGA